CACGUAGGCGGACUUUCAAGUCAGGGGUGAAAUCCCGAGGCUCAACCUCGGAACUGCCUUUGAUACUGUUGGUCUUGAGCCCGGAAGAGGUGGGUGGAAUUCCUAGUGUAGAGGUGAAAUUCGUAGAUAUUAGGAAGAACACCAGCGGCGAAGGCGGCCUACUGGUCCGGUGCUGACGCUGAGGUGCGAAAGCGUGGGGAGCAAACA
rnacentral:rRNA from 1 species